ACUCAUGCUGACCAUUCCAACUUAGUUGGUAGAGCAUUAAACUCUUAAUCUCAGGGUUGUGGGUUCAAGCCUCACCUUGGGUA